UUGCUUUUUCUGACGUCUCAUUGGCUCUGUUCUUACCUCUGAAGCACUCAGCGAGCAGCACACGAGGGGCAAAAUCACAGAGAAUGUCAGGACCUCAAUGCUGCGAGAACCCUCCAACCCUGACCCAACCCGCGGACAAGGCCAUGUCGAGGAGCUGGGUGGAGUCAAGAGCUACGUCUCUGGCUCAUCUGACUCUGAUCUACCCUGUACUUCCUUUUUUAUUGAUCAAGUUGGCAUUAUGGGUUCAUAGUCGGUGCUUCUGGUUCAAUCUGCAACGUGGGUCAGUGAUUUAAGUUGUAUUUUGUCAUAAUCUCUUGGUAAACCUUUAAGUCCCGUUUUUUUAGGUUGUAAUCUGAUGAAACUAUCCGAUGACGCGAGUGGCUAUGUUUACGGAGUAGGCUGUUUCUUGGAAGUUUAUAUUGAGAGUUGUUUCAUGGUGGCAUGUGAUUUAGUAAUUGGAGGUAACUGAAAUAGGAGCAUAAAGAAGGGAAACCUAUUUAUAUGGCUUCAUUUCUACCAUUUCAUCUGUUUUCCCUCUUCUCAGAACUGACCAUAAUUUGGGUGGUUGUAUUCAUUGUGCAGGAUGUGAAGCUCCAGGCUUGAGGUAUAGACGAGUCCCAUAUAAUCCUUUCUUGCAACUUGCUUGUUUUUAUUCUUCCCAGACCAUCUCUGUGCGUCUCUGUUGGGGGCAGUGGAGGAGGUUAUGCAUGAAUGAGACUUCCCUUCUUGUCUUUCUAUUGUUCAUUUAAUUUUGCCUUUUCAUCGCAUUUUCAAUUGCUUCACAGUUCAUUAUGUUAUGACUUUCCUCUAGCUUUUUGCGUUAAAAUUAACAGAAGAUUGCUAAGGUCUACAUAAGGUAAUGAUGUGUUUAUUUCCCUUGAACACUAGAGAAGUCAAAGGAACCACUUCUUUGGCAGCUUAUCCAAUAUUACAGUCAGGUUGUUCGCUUAUGAUGAAAAUCUUCAAGGUCUGACUUUGGGUGCUCUUUCGAGAUAGAUCUUGAGAUUCUCUAGAGUACUUUGGAUAGUGGAUAUGAGAGAAGCUGUGGUAUUCAGAAUGUCCAAUUGGGACUGAGAUUCUUCUAUCUCGACUUGAGUGUCUCAAGAGUAAGAGCAUGGGGAUCUCUGCCGAAAAAGCAGGCCCUUGUCAUGCAAUGUGAUAUGUCUUUUCAUUAGUAUUAUUGAACUGAUGAAAGCUUACUCUACGUAAUGCUUAAGAAUUCCCAUAUGGUGAUCAAUCUCGUCAAAAUCUUGCUGACUUGGUGGCAGCUGCUGCUGUGGUUGUGCCUGAUUUUUUUGUUGAGGAUCCUUCUGUGCCUGAAAAUGCCAAAAGGCCAUGGAAUAGCUAAGUAUCAUGGAACUGUGGGUUCUCGAUCUUUAAUUCAUAGACAUUUGCUGUUUUUUCCUUAGAAACUGCGCUAGUAUUAUUCAUAAGUUGAUCCAGAAUUGCCUAUCUUGGGAUGCUCACUGUUUUCCCAUUAUUGAUUAGUUGCUUAAGCUACGACUCAUAGUUAUGCAUCCAUUAGUAAUUGUGAUUGCUGAUGCCAAAAGAAUUUUUUUUGCAGGAUAAGUGUUAUGAAGAUGCAAAGCGAAUAGUUGAAGCUGUAAAAGGUAAAGGUGUGUCUGCGAUUAGGGCUGCUGGCUUGUAAGCAACCUUGUUCUGUGGAUUCUUUGAAAGGUCUCUUUUCAUGUCUUAAAGGAUGUGCUUUACAAGCUUGUAAUAUCUUGCAGUGCUCAUGGGAUCUUCAUUUCUUCAGCUAAGGGGUGGUUGAGCUGGCAAAGACAGGGGUCGUCAAAGCUGCUGCAUUACUAGAUCCGACGUUAGUUUCUGUGGAUGACAUCGAGGGUAUGGUCAUCUUUAUUGGUUUAUUAGGCUCUUGGUUUGCAAAUAUUCAAAGUCAAUAAUUACUUGAAGUAGCUGUAGGAACCUACCUUUCUACAUUUUCACUGUCAUGCACACGAAUAUAUUGCAUUUGGUUUGCAUAAAGAAGAAAAAGCAUCUCCUGAAGGCUUGGAAAGUUGGAACGUUCACGUCGCAUGUAAGAUAUGACAUUUUUCUCUGCUCCUUAUAACGCUUGUCAAGACAAUCCGUUUACUCUGCCCCCAACACAUUAACGGUGUGAUGUUUUAUUUACCUCGAAACAUUUCCAUGGCAGCUAUUGCAAGAUUUGAUGAACCUAUGUUAACAACACAUCGCCAUAAUAUAUCAGCUUCAUCAGUUUUGCACCUUAGAGUUAAGUGCAAUUUUUUGCAGGAGUAUGGGCUCCAAAUAGCCAUAUUAUUUUCUGAGAUAGACUGUAUGUCACCACUGGAACUCCUGAAGCAGUUUGAAGAGAUUCUAACUGCCAUAUCUGAGGUGAGAUUGGGAUAUACUCGACCUUUCCUGAUCCUGAGUCUAUGUUUGCAUGUUCUAAGGAUGGAUUGCUUUGGUCAUAUCUAUUUUCCUCAGUUUUUCAUUUGGUUUCGUUAUAUCAAUGGUGUCCAUUCAUGUUCGCUUAUCAGAAUUUUUAUGGAGAACAAUUUCAGGGGUGAUGGUUCUGAUUUAUUAUUCGAUUUUUACAUUUGGCAUAUAACCUAUGGUUCUUGAGUUCAUGCAUUUCUAUUUACUUUCCAAUUGGGAAGUUACAUAUGUGAGCCACUCAGUGAGUUUGCUUUGCCUCAUGGUAGUAGAGAUUUUUUAUGAAUAUGAGACUGUUUCGCAGGUUGAUGCGCGAGUAAAGAUAUUUCCAAAAGUUUCCCAUGGGUGGACUGUCAAGUAUGAUGUUGCUGAUGAAGCAGUGGUGAAGUUUGCCGAGGCGAAUUGGGAUAUGCUAGAAUGGUUUGCAAAGUUUAUCAAUUGAGGGUAGUCUCUGGCAUCAGUUGAAAACCUACACUCUGGCAUGUGACAACUUGUUGUGUAAUAAAGUUGACGCUGUUUACUUUCUGCAUUCUGCGAUUGCCAAGAAAAUGGAGAAGGCUAGUGGGGAUUUUGUUCUGUUUCUGCAUCUCAACUUGAGUUCUGCCAUAAAGAUUAGAUGAAGUAGAAUCUCUCCCGAUCGAUGCUUGUAUUCUAUUUAUGAUGACUUGGUAAUGCGCUUAGGAUGAACUUAUACUGAGUUUUUUUUCCGUCUGCUUCCAUGUGAAGAGAGGAUGAAUUCACGCUUAACUCAUUAUUAAACAGCUAUAUCUACAAUGCAUUAUGACCCUCAAGGUUUAAAAGAUUUUCAUCACUAGAUUUAGAAAAUUAUUUGCUAAGGUUUGUGGUGUUAGCAGAGCAAUGGGAAAAAUUACAAAAAAGUUCUAAACCUAUUGUAAUUGUGCCAAUUGAGUCCUAAACUUAUUUUUUUGACCAAUUGAGUCCUAAACCUUUUACAAUUAUUCCCGAUUAGUCCAUUUGGCUAAAAUUGGCCAGUCAGUGUUGACAUGGCAGAUGGCCGGCCUUAGCGAGCACUGACAUGGCAACUGGUCGCGCCGGCAAGCUUUUUUUAAUAGUAUUUUUAUUUUAUGAAUAUUUAUUAAUUUUUUUUUAUCUUUUUUUUCCUUUUUUUUUUCCCUCCUCUCUCCUCCCUCCUCCUUCCUCCGACUUCGGCGAUCGGCUAGGCUGGCCGGUCGCCAGAUUGAGGCAAUCCAGCGGGCUCCCCUCGCGGUCACCGAGCGAGGCGAGCCCCUCGCCAGACAAGAUGGUGAGCCCACCUCGCCAGGCGUGAUGGCAAGCCCUCCUCGCCAGAUCCGGCGGGGGCUUGCCCUGUCGUCGCUGGGCACAAGCUUGCCGGAUUGCCUCAGUUCGGCAAUUGGCCAGCCUCACCGGUCGCCGAAGCCAAAGGAAGGAGGAGGGAGGAGGGAGGAAGGAAAAAAAAAUUAAAAAAAAAUUAAAAAAUAUUUCAAAAAAUAAAGUAUUAUUAAAAAAAAAAAGCUCGCCGGCCGGCUAAUUUUAGCCAGAUGGACUGAUCGGAAAUAAUUGUAAAAAGUUUAGGACUCAAUUGGUCAACAAAAUAAGUUUAGAAUUGAAUUAACACAAUUACAAUAGAUUUAUGACUUUUUUGAUAAUUUUUCCGGAGCAAUGAGUUGGCAAAGAAAAGUCAGCAUCUUGCGCUAAUCCUAAGUUCAACGCCUGGAACUUGCUAUCCGCUGAGGGACUCUCCUAAAACAGGAAACAUCCAAGAAAAAAAAUACAUAAAGUUCUGUGUUUCACAAUCGCAUCAAGCAAAAGAAAACACAGUGAAGAGUACAAAAGAAAUGCCUCAGCCGCGCAUUGUAUGACAUUGAACUAAUCGUCGGGGCGCAAGAAAUCGUCAAGGGCGCAUGACAUUGAACUAAUCGUCGGGGCGGAAGAAAUCGUCAAGGAUCAAGCAAGUCGCCAUGGAAAUCCCAAAAUUGUGCCUCCACAUAAGAGAUUAUAAUAUCACUCGCAGGAUCAUGCCGAUAGGACACGACAUUAAUACAGCUGGCCAAUGACUCUCAUGCAUAGAGACGAGAAGAAAAGGGAAACUUUAAGGAUUCAACUUCAUGAGGAAUCUUUCCAGUCAUCGAUGUUCAAGUCAAUGCCUCCAAGCAGCCGUGCACGGCAACAUAGAACUCAGAGCCAGAUCAUUCAUUACGACAUCAGAACCUUAGGCACAUGUCUGUCUGACCGAGUCAACAUUGUCUCAACUACUCCUCUCUUUUAUACAAGGUCUAUUUAAGACAAGCCAUAGCAAAGUCGUAACCAAGCAGCAACGCGUCACUUCAAUUUGCAGAAAGAGAUGAAUCUUCCUUUCAUUCAUGGUGAAGUCAAUGCCUCCCAAGGAGCUGGGCAUGGCAAUAUAGAACUCAGAGCCAGAUCAUUGUUACAACAUCAGAACCUCAGGCACAGGUUCCUCUGACAAAGUCAACAUCGUCUCAACUUGUCCUCUCUUUAGUACAAGGUUUCCCCAGGACAAGCCAAAGCAAAGUCGUAACCAAGCAGCAACGCAUCGCUCCGGUAUGUAGAAAGAGAUAAAUCUUCCUUUCAUUGAUAUUGAAGUCAAUGCCUCGCCAAGGAGCUGUGCAUAGUGAUAUAGAACUCAGAGCCAGAUCAUUCAUUACGACAUCUGAACCUAGGUACAUAUUCGUCUGACAGAGUCAACAUUGUCUCAAUUUGCCCUCUCUUUUGUACAAGGUUUCUUCAAGGCAAGCCAAAGCAAAGUCGUAACCAAGCAGAAACGCGUCAGUUCGAUAUGCAGAAAGAGAGUACAAGAUCUUUAUUGGGCAAUCAAGAAAGCUCCUCAAUGGAACUCUAGAAGUAAACGAGCGGACGAUGUACGAAUUGUCCAAGAGCAAGAAAACUCCCAGGAAAGUUGGCGAUAGAAGCUGCUAUAACCUUACUUUAUCCUCUGCUAGAUCCACUUAUUCUCCCCACCUUUCAUACAGGCAUUUCUGCUCGCUCUCAUCCCAAUCCAGGCUAUUCAUGAGCAGAAAUUUUAGAAAUCGGAUUCAGGUUCCAUUGAACCGUUAGAAGUUCUCCUCAGCUGAUUUGCUGUGCAAAGAAGCGUCUGUUUUUGAGCUUCUCCAGACUGCAAAAUGAAGGUCGAGAACAGUGCUGAAGGCCCAAGCAGCAUUCAUCUGAAUAUUCCUCAGCUUCAGAAGAAAAAUGAAAUCAUCAUUUCACCCAUUAGUGCUGUUACGAGAGAUGGAAGCACUGGAAACUCCGUUUCCCCCCCAUUACAGGCUGUUCCUGCCCCGGAGAAAAAGCUGACUCUGUUUGCUCUCCGCCUUGCGGUUCUUGAAAAAGCUGCCACUGGCCUGGGAGCCCUUGGUUUCAUCUGGGCGACUGUUGUACUCCUGGGGGGCUUUGCCAUUUCCUUAGACAAAAACAACUUCUGGUUCAUCACCAUCAUUUUAAUAAGUGAAGGAACUCGAAUAUUCAGCAGGAGUCAUGAGCUGGAAUGGCAACACCUGUCCACUUCAUCAAUUGGUGAUGCCGGAAUUAGCAGCUUCCGAAAGCUCAGAUCGAGCUCUAGAGCUCUAGCUGAAUCCGUGAAGGAUAUGUUGAGUCCCGUAAGUUCUGGUACAAGGAAGCCAAGUCAACACAGCAGGGAAGUUUUCGAAACUACAGAUGCGACAAAUGUCAGAGAGCAGAAAUUGCAAAGGAAGCCAACCCGGAAAUGGACGCCUUCAGAAGUUCCUAUUCUACCUUAUGGAGGGUGGGUUUUCCUUUCGAGAAAUAUCAGCAAGAUUUUCUAUUUGCUUCAGCUCUUAUCUGCGAUAGCCUGCGUCGUGCUCUCAUUGAUGAAGCUCAUCAUGCACAAUUAUGGUAAGGUAAAAGAAGGAGAGAGUAAGAACCAGAAAACUUCUCUGAUUAUCUUUUAUGCCUUGGCUUUGGCAGAAGCUCUGGUCUUCCUGACAGAGAAAGUUUACUGGCAGUGGACGGUAGUCAUCUGUAAGCUUCUUGAAGGGGUGAAUGAGGAAUGCAAUCUGGAGGCUUCAGGUAUGAUCUCAACUCGGAGAUUUUUCUAUGACUCCUACUCGAGAUGUAUUAAUGGGAGCAUUUUUGAUGGCCUGGGAAUGGAUAUGGUGACUUUUGCAAUGGAUCUCAUAUGUUCAAACUCGCCAGAUGAGCAGCUCAUAGGAGCCAGGAUUCUUCACCGAUUUUCUUUCACAAAACCAUUUUCAGAUGACACGCUUCAGAAUGAGAAAGAUGAAGAACUUCAAACAAGACUUGUGAAAGAUGAAGAACUUCAAACAAGAUCAAGUGCACGAAUCUGAAGACAAUUUGUAUUUCCAAAUGAUGAUCAUAUCAUUGUAUUUCAGUACAAUUGAAACAACAGAAUGUGAAGAAACUUCUGUUGUUCUAUUCUUCUUAGAUCAAAUGUACUUAACUUGCUUCAGAGUUUCGGAUUUGAGCUGUUCUUCAUUCUCCGAAAGUUUCUUCUCUUCUGUAUCAAGAUUCCUUCUGCACUUAUUGAUGAUCUCGAUACAUUGUUCUCUCAAAUCUUGCAACCUCUCUCUCUCUCUAUCUUUCUAUCUGUUCUUCCUUACUUCUUAUGUAAAGCAAAGCAGAGUACUUAUACCAGAAUAUGUAACAGCACUUAGUUACAAAGGAAAACAGAAUACAGUAACUACUUUAACAGAAAGAAUCUAUUUGACUAAGCCUUAAGACUUUGGCAAUCCGAGUCAUUAAGCCCUCGAGCAUCUUCGUUCAUUGAUCAUCUGGCUAUCCGAGUUAUUAAGCCCUCGAGCAUUCUCGUUCAUUGAUCAUUGAUCCAGUCAUCUUCGUUUCUGGAUUCAGGUCCUCUGUUUUGGUCCUCUGUUUUUGCUUCUGCAUUUGAGCAUCUUCGUUACUUUUAUACUUAACACAGAAGAUCGGUACAACUCCGCCAGUUAUAGAGAGAUUGGUGGAGAUCUUGAACUGGGAAGACCCGCAAGAGGAAGAAAUCAGGCUAUCAGCUGCAAACAUAAUUUCCAAAUUAGCCGGGAAAAAGCAAAACUCCCUUCGGGUCGUUGGAAUAACUGGGGCAAUGGAAUCGAUAUCAUCUCUUCUACAGACAAACAGAAGCCCCCGUUCUAAAGCAGACAAAAUUGGCGAAAAGAAAAAUUUUGACCAUGAAGCCUAUGGAUACUGGACUUUCAAUAGUUUGGGGCUACUCAUUCUGAAGGAACUAGCCCGUGAUCACGAUAACUGCGGAAAAAUUGGAAACACGAGGGGUCUUCUUUCCAAAAUCAUAGAUUUCACUCAUGCUGAUGAAGCAAUAUUGAGGGACUCAACUGUCGCCACAUUGCAGGUUUUGACUGUUGAGAGAUCCCUAAAGGUUAUUAAGAUGCUGGCAAGCACAACGGGUACCACAGGGAGAAAACUCCGGAGAGACAUCUCGGAGAGAGUCUUCACCAUAAGCAACAUAAGAGAUAUUCUACGGUACGGAGAGAAACAACCAAAACUGCAGAAACGAGGGAUUGAGAUCCUUACCAGUUUGGCACAGGAUGAUGAUGCGACAGAGCGAAUGGGAGGGACCGGUGGAGUUCUGAAAGAACUGUUAAAGAUUUUCUUCCAAGAAGGAGUGCCAAAAGAUCAAAAGGACGUGAGAAUCGCGGCCGGAGAAGCCCUGGCAAAGCUGGCUUUCGGGAGCAAGAGCAACUGUCAUCGAAUCUUGAAGUUAAAUGUAGUGGAGAGGCUCAUAGAAGCAUUGGAGAUUCCGCUUCUUCAUGUCAAUGCUGGAAGAAUUUUGAGGAAUAUGUGCGCUUACAGUGGGCCAGAGUCCUUCAACCAGCUAAAGGGAGUAACAGCAGCGGCACCAACAGUAAGUGCAUUAUUUUGCAAAAACUGAACCUAAGCCGACAUCUCCAAAACCGGAAAAGGCAGUUAUGUACAAGUUUAAGAUAUCUCAGAGUGAAUGAUAUUAAUUAUUCCUACCUAACCAAAUUUCCUCAACUCAGGUGCUCAAGGCAAUCUUGUCAGGAGAAGGCAAACUGCAAGAGGUGAUGGUUGGGUUAGCGGCACAUGCUUUCAAGUUCAUGACAGCAGAAGAAUCGACUGCUGUCUUUGAGAGGGCAGGGUUCGAAGAAACAAAAUUAGCUUGCGCUUUGGUCGAGAUCCUGAGGAGCUAUAGGUAUCCAGAUAUAAAGGUGCCAAGAAUGAGAAGGUUUGCUAUCGAGCUGGCAAUCUGGAUGAUGAGAGACAAUAUGAAGAAUGUCCAGAUCUUCAGGGAUCUGGGCAUGGAGGAGGAGCUUGAAGGAGUUUUGGAUACGACAUCAGAGCUAGAGAGCUUCAAUAUUUUCUCUGGCAGCAUCGGACUUCGCAGACACAGCACGACCAUUCACUCACUUGUUGAGACCGCACUUAUGCUGCUGAAGGAUAGGUUUGAUCAACCGAUAGGUCACUGAGCAAGCGAAGUUGCCAAAUUAUCCGACAAAUGGGAAACAUGAAGGUAUGCUAGACUGCACAUUUCAUUCUCUAAUUCCAGAAGCAAAGAAAUAAAGGUAAUUGCUUCUUUAGCAACUCUGCCUGGCUUAAGUCUGAUGUUCUGAAAGUUAUCACCUUCCUUGUUUGUUUGCAGGCGGAAUUUGUGCGAUUUACAGCUCACCCCAUGUACUACUUCCAAAACAUAUGCAAGAUGUGUACAUACACUUAUAAGAAAAUUGUGGACCACAUGAUGCUAUUAAUUAAUGAUUUAAUAAAUAGUUAAUGUUAAAAAAAGUUCCGACUCUAAUGAAAGGAUACAAUCUUCAUUGAGAAGUUACCCUUUUUUCUGUUUCUUCAGAGGUCGCGGCGUUCGCAGGUAAUGCUGCUCUCCGUGUCUUCCUCCUCCGUCGCUUUUUCGCCUUAUUUUUGUUCCGUGAUUGCUCGGAGUCGCCGCCCUCAAAUUGCGAUCUUGGAGCUCACGCGAGCAGAUUGGGCUCGACGGGUUAUCGAGAACCCGUUUUUUCUUUCUCUCUUUUUUUUUUUGUUGGGUUGUAUUUGGAAAUGGAAAAAGGUGGCGGGACUGCUUUGAUUAGAGCCUUAGGCGUUGAUGACGAUGCGACGAAUUUUUCAAAGGUGUUAGCAUCGACGAUUUGGUAAAUGGUCGCCGGCCUAUGCAUAUGUUGCUGAUCUUUUGUGGGGGACCGGCUGCUUGCUCAGGUUAGCUUCCCCUGCACAAAAGGAAAAAGAGAAAAGGCCUUAAUCAUGAGAUGAUAUGGAGGGAUAUAGGCGCGCUGGUUGCAUUAAAUUCUAAAAAGAUUUUUACUUUCGGGACAAGUCAUACGCCGUUUAAUUGGGCUGCGAUAAAGUCGGAAUUUUUUUGGCUGAUUUUCCUCCUCUGGGGAUUUCGCAGGACAGCCGGUCGAUCUCAUACCAGGGGAAACAUCGUCUGGUUCGAUAUGAAGGUCAGCGUGCGAGAGUCCACGAUGGCGCCGAUCCACGCCCUGUGGAAUUCCAACGUGGACCACAUUAUGCUUUUAUGGAAAGUACUUAUUGAUAGCAUAUAUAAAUAAGAAUGUAUUUGGUAACGUUUAUGAGAAAAAGUGUUUUUAUUUUUUCUUCCCCUAGAAUAGAAAUAGAACAAAAACGUGUUUGAUAAUUUUUUUGUUCUCGGAAUAGAUUUGUUUUUGGGAAUAGAUUGAAAUAGAAACAAUAAACAAAAAUUGCUUCUUUGUUUCUUGGAAUAGCUCAAGAAACAAGCCUUUUCUCUUUUCUUUUCUUCUUUUUCUCUUUCUCUCUUCUUCCCCUUAACUUGUCACCGGCCUCGACGAUGGUCAGUGAUUGGCCAAAUAAGGCCCAGCGACCUCACCGAAGCCUCGCUAGCCCCCAACAAGGUCGCUCUGAGCUCGUCGGCCACAAGCAAGGCCCCCUUGAGUCUCACCUACCCAUUGGCAAGGCUUGACCUUGGCCGACCAUUGCAAGGUGGCCUUGCCCACCUAGGCGAUGCUGAGCUUGCAAUGGUUAGGCAAGGUCACCUCGCCUAACCAGUCCUCCAUCUCGACUAGCUAGGGCGAGGCUCCUUGAGACCGAUGACCUUGCCACCCUCAUCUGGCGAGUGACCAGCUAGAGAAAGGAGAAGAAAAAGGAAAAAAAAAAUAAGAGAAAAAAAGAAAGAAAGAUGUAAUAAAAUUAUUAAUAAAUUAAAAGAAAUUUUAAGUUAAAAAAAUAUUUGGGUUGUACCAAACACAUUUUUGUUUUGAGAAUAUAAAUUUUGUAUAGUUUCUAAAUGCCUUAAAAUACUUAGAAACUGAUCUGAGAACAAAAAUAGAAAAGAAAAUGUUUCUAAAUAAAAACUAUUCCCGGGAAUAGAAACAUAAUCACUACACAUUUUAAGAAUCUGGUUCUCCCUUCACCCUCAUUGUGAAAUAUCAUCAAUAAAGGUAUGUUUUCAUUCUCUUCAUUGUGAAAUAUCAUGAAGAUCAAAGAUUUCCUGUUUUGAAUUUCCGCAUAAAAGAAUUACACUAUUGCUUACAACACCCACACAUUCUUUUAUUUCACAAUUUAACUCUUGAAAAUGGAAGCAUCCAAGAGUUCCAUAUACUGUGAUUCUGAGCUCACCACUUCCGCUACUAAAAGAUCAGAUUUUUCCUUCCAAAUUUUGCUCCACUUAGCUGCGAAUCAAGGGUUAAGGACGAUAUAGUCCGAGGCAAUCAUCACAUAAUUUUCAAAUGACUACACAAGAACGAGAAUUCCAAAAGGCAAUUCAUCGUGCUACCGAAGUUGAUAAAAAGAAAGAACUUAUCGCUUACUUUGUGACGACGGAAGGAAAUCUGACCAUGAACCCACAAAAUUAUCUGCCUUAUUCGCUUCUCUGAACCACCCCAGAACAGAACGAGACAAGAACCAAAGAAAAAAAGGGGAACUUGCAGUUGAACACUUCACUCUAUAAAACGCAAGGCAAUGAACUAUGCUCAUAACUAUGAAAAACGAGACGUUCUUGCGAUUGAAUUCGUCGGGAAACUUGUUACCCCUCAAGAUCAGGGAGUUUCAGCGCCGAGAUGAGUGAGGAUUGAGUGUCUUGAGGGCGAGCGACCUCAGUCGCUGCGAAUUGCCAAAAUGAAGAACAAAUGGUGGAGGGAAAGGUGAGAAAUUGAAAGAACGAAAAUUAGUUAAAAAACUGUUAACCCCAAACAAGAAAUUGAAAAAGAAAUAUUACUCAAAACGAAAAACGCCACAAAUGAUCUCUAUGACCCUUUUAAACUUUUAAUUUGUUUAAUGUAGUAUUGGACAUUUGUACAUGUUCUAGGACAAUAGUGAACAUUUUCAUAUUGUUUAAAGACUAAAUUGAAUAUGUAUUAAAAUUUUAAAUAUCACAUUGAAUAAAUUAAAAGUUCAUAAACCAUAUUACACAUCUAGCCAUAGUUUAAAAAUCAUUUGUGCUAUUAUUCCUAUUCAAAACAAUUUCAAGUCAUAGUCGCAUGAAUUCACCAUAUAUUCAAAAAGAAAAAAAAAAUACAUUUUUGACUUUUUUAUUUUUUUAAGUUAAAAUUACCCUUUGGUUCUUUCGUUCGUUUUCACCCUUUGUUUCUUUUGCUCGUCUUCAUCCAUUUUGGAACAACCGAUCACUUUUUUUUUUUUUUUUUUAACUAUUAAAUUUUCUGAAUUAUCCAAAGUUUCAUGCUUACCUACUAUACAUAAUUAUUCAAUUUCUUUCUAUGCGUAAUUACUUAAUUAAGGACACGCAAACGCCAGCUGCAACGCGUGCCACAACCCUUAUCGAAUAUCAAGGAAUAGAGGGCCAAUAAAAGUGGCGCCUUCUUUCUUCAUUUUGAUGUCGCCACGCAUAAUAAUUUGUCUUCUCAGAUAAAUGGUUAAUGGGUCUCCGAAUUUUGGCGAGCAGAUAGAAGUAAUUUCUCCUCAUGCAAUAGCCGCCUGGCUAGACCUUCUUCGACGACAAAGCACUGAAAGCAGGGGACCACUUGUGUGUCCUCUAGCUCGAGACAAAGACAUCUCCAGCUAGCCACAAACGAAAUUGCAAACUGCACUUAACACGACACGGAAAGAAUCGUCGAGGAGCAAGCAAGUGGCUGUGGAGAUCCGAGAAUGCGCCUCUCAUGAAAGAUAUUAUGAUACGAUUCCUUGCAUGAUCAUGCGGAUACGAAAGCGCAUUACUAGAUUUCGACGAAACGAACUGCCGUAAUAAGGAGGGAAGACCCAGUUGUUGUUCCAAGUGAUGUGGCGAUUUCCAAACUGGACCGAAUGACCAUGAAUUUCGACAGCACGCUUGACCAAAUGACUCUCAUGGAAAGGGACGCCCGAAGAAAAAGACGACUUUGAAGGUUCAACUUCCCGACUAAUCUUCCUUUCGAUGAGGUUGACAUCGAUGAUGCCUUUCGAGGAGCUGUGCACGGCAAUAUAACUCAAGAACCCUGAUCAUUCAUUAUAACAUCAGGACCUUAAGCAUAUGUUCCUCAGACAGAGUCGAUAUCGUCUUGCACUUGUCUUCUCUCCUGUACAAGUUCUGUUGACUACAAGCCAAAGCAGUGGCCAAGCAGCAAGCACAUCGCUCCAUAUGCAGAAAGAGAGUUCCGCAUCUUCAUCAGGCAAACAAGAAAGAUCGUCAAUGGAGCUUUAGAAGUAAACAAUCCAACGAUACUGGAAUUUGGUCCAAGAGUAAGAGAACUUGCAGGAGAGUUGGCAAUAUAAUCUGCUUAACCUUCCUUUUCCUCUGCUAGAUUAAUUUUCUUCUUUUUCUCCCAACCCCCCCCCCCCCCCCCCUCCUUCCCCCCACAGAGGCAUAGCUGCUCUGUCUCAUCCCAAUCCAGGAAAUUCAUUUACAGAACAUUUGGAAAUUGAAUCCAGGUUCCAUUGAACCACUAGAUGGAAGUUUUCGUCAGCUGAUUUGACAUAUAAAGAAGAGUGUUCUUGAGCCACUGCAGACUACAAAAUGACGGUCAAGAGCUCCACUGAAGGUCAAAGCAGCAUUCAUUUGGAUAUUCCUCAGCUUCAGAAGAAAAAUGACACCGUCAUUUCACCUGCCACAAUGUUUGAGCCACAAAAUAGUGCUGGUACGAGAGACAGAAGUAGCGGAAACUCUGUUUCCCCCACGCUGCCAGCUGUUUCCGCCCCGGAGAAAAAGCUGACACUGUUUGCUCUCCGCCUUGCAGUUCUUGAAAAAACGGCCACUGGCCUGGGAACCCUUGGUUUCAUCUGGGCGACGGUUGUACUUCUGGGGGGCUUUGCCAGUACCCUAGACAAAACCGACUUCUGGUUCAUCACCAUCAUUUUAUUAAUUGAAGGAGCUCGAAUAUUCAGCAGAAGUCAUGAGCUGGAAUGGCAACACCAGUCCACAAGGUCAAUAGCUGAAGCUGGAGUUAGCAGCUUCCGAAUGCUCAGAUCAAGCCCUAGAGCUCUAGCUGAAUCCAUGAAGGUUAUGUUAAGCCCUGUAAGCUCUGCUACAAGGAAGCAAAGUCAACAGAGCAGGGAAAUUUCCGAAACUACAGAUGCAACAAACGUUAGAGAGCAGGAAUUGAGAUGGAAGCUGACCCGGAUAUGGACUUCUUCCGAAGUUCCUAUUGUACCUUAUGCAGGGAGAGUUUUCCUUUCGAGAAACGUGAGCAAGAUUCUCUAUUGGCUUCAGCUCUUAUCUGCAAUAGCCUGCGCUGUGCUUUCAUUGAUGAAGCUCAUCAAGCGCAAUUUUGGUGACAUUGCUGAAAAGGACACUGACGAGAGGAACGCGAAAGCUGCUCUGUAUAUCUUUUAUGGCUUGGCUUUGGCAGAAGCUUUGGUCGUCCUGACAGAGAAACUUUACUGGGAGUGGAAGGUUGUCAUCUGUAAGCUUCUCGAACGAGUGAACGAGGAAUGCGAUCUGGGGGCUUCAGGUAUGAACUCGACUCAGAGAUUUUUCUACGACUCCUAUUGGAGAUGUAUUAAUGGUAGCAUUUUUGAUGGCCUGGGAAUGGAUAUGGUGACUUUUGCUAUGGAUCUCUUAUGUUCAAACUCGCUGGAUGAGCAGCUGAUAGGAGCCAGGAUUCUUCACCAGUUUUCUACGAAAGAACGGUUUUCAGAUGACACGCUUCAGAAGAUAGGAACAACUCUGCCAGUUAUAGAGAGACUGGUGGAGAUCUUAAACUGGGAAGACCCACAAGAGGAAGAAAUCAGGGUAUCAGCUGCAGAAAUAGUUUCCAAAUUAGCCGGGAAAAAGCAGAACUCCCUUCGGGUCGCUGGGAUACCUGGGGCAAUGGAAUCAAUAUCAUCUCUUCUACAGACAAACAGAAGCCCCAGUUCCACAGCAGAUGGAAUUAGAGAAAAGAAAAUCGUCUUUGACCAUGAGGACUAUGGACACUGGACUUUCAUUAAUGUGGGGCUACUCAUUCUGAAGAAACUAGCCCGUGAUCAUGAUAAUUGUGGAAAAAUUGGAAACACAAGGGGCCUUCUUUCCAAAAUCAUAGAUUUCACUCAUGCUGACGAAAGAAUAUUGAAGGACUCAACCGUUACCACAUCGCAAGUUUUGACCGUCAAAAGAUCCCUUCAGGUUAUAAAGAUGCUGGCAAGCACAACAGGUACCACAGGGAAAAAUCUGCGGAGAGAGAUCUCAGAGAUAGUCUUCACCAUAAGCAACAUAAGAGAUAUUCUACGACACGGAGAGAAACAACCAGAACUGCAGAAACUAGGAAUUGAGAUCCUUACCAGUUUAGCACAGGAUAAUGAUGCGACAGAGCGUAUAGGAGGGACUGGUGGAGUUCUGAAAGAACUAUUAAAGAUUUUCUUCCAAGAAGGAGUGCUGGAAAAUCAAAGGGAUGUGAGGAUUGUGGCCGGAGAAGCCCUGGCAAUGCUGGCUUUUGAAAGCAAGAGCAACUGUCAACGCAUCUUGAAGUUAAAUGUAGUGGAGAGGCUCCUAAACGUGUUGGAGAUUCCGGUUCUUGAUGUUAGUGCUGGAAGAAUUUUGAGGAAUAUGUGCACUUACAGUGGCCCAGAGUCCUUCAACCAGCUAAAGGAAGUAACAGCAGCGGCACCAACAGUAAGUGCAUUAUUUUGCAAAAAUUGAACCUGAGCCGGCAUCUCAAUAACUGCAAAGGGCAGUUAUGUACAAGUUUUAAGUUGUCCUGGAGAGAGUGACAUUAAUUGUUCCUACCUAACCACAUUUCUUCAACUCAGGUUCUCAAGGCAAUCUUGUCAGGAGAAGGCAAACUCCAAGAGGUGAUGGUUGGGUUAGCAGUGCAUGCUUUCAAGUUCAUGACGGCAGAAGAAUCGACCGCCUUCUUUGAGCAGGCAGGGUUUAGAGAAGCCAAAUUAGCUUGUGCUUUGGUCGAGAUCCUGAGGAGCCACCGGAACCCACAUAUAAAGGUGCCGAGAAUGAGAAGGUUUGCUAUCGAGCUGGCAAUCUGGAUGAUGAGAGAGAAAUCGACAAAUGUGCAGAUCUUCAGGGAUCUGGGCAUGGAGGAGGAGCUUGAAGGAGUCAUGGAUACAACAUCAGAGCUAGAGAGCUACAACAUUUUCUCUGGCACCUUUGGACUAAGCAGGCACAGCACGACCAUUCACUCACUUGUUGAGACCGCACUGAUGCUGCUGAAUAACAGGUUUGAUCAACCGAUAGGUUACUGAGCAAGUGACCAUGUCAAAUUAUCCAACAAAUGAGAAACAUGAAGCGAUGCUAGAAUACACAUUUCAUUCGCUAAUUCCAGAAGCAAAGAAAUAAAGGUAAUUGCUUCUUUAGCAACUCCCUUAAGUCCGAUGAAAUGCUUCUGAAAGUUAUAACAAUGUUUAUUUGUUUCACACGGAGUUUGUGUGUCAUGUGACGCACCACAUGUACUACUACCAAAACAUAUGAAUAUGAAUACAUACACCCAAGCAAUUUUUGCUUUACGAUUCAACUCUUGAACAUUCAAGCAUCCGAGUGUUGCAUAUCCCCUAAUUCUGAGCUCCCUACUUCUGCUAUUAAAAGACAGGAUUUCCCCUUCCAAAUCUUUUUCAACUUAGCAGCUACUCAAAUACUUAAGACGGCAUAAUCCAGUGCAGUCAUUCCAUAAUUUCAAACGCCUACACCAAGAUCAAGAAUCCCAGAAGGCAAUUCAUCAGGCAACAGAAGUAGACAAAAAGAAAAAGAAAGAACCCAUUGCUUACUUUGUGACGGCUUUAGAAGGACAUCUCGCAAUGAACCCAUAAAUUAUCUGCACUACACUCUGAAACCCCUUAAUUAGGAUGAGAACCGAAGAACCAAAGAAAAAUGGGAACUUGCAGUUGAACAGCUGACUCCACAAAGCAAAAGCGAAUGAAACUAAGAUCGUAAUCUACGCGAUUCGACAUUCGUGUGAUGGACAUCAGGGAGUUUUGGAGCUGAGACGAGCGAGGGUUCAGCGUCUGGAUGGUGAGCGAGAUCAGUCACUGUGAAUUGCGAAGAUGGAAAAACUAGAAAUGGUGGAGGGGAAGGAAGGAAACGGAACGAAAGUGAAUUGAAACUGUUGACCCUGCACAAGAAAUUACAAAAGAAAUUAUAUGUAUAUAUAUAGAGAUUACCCCCUUCCAUUCUUUCACUCUUUCAGUUGUCCACUCCCUUCUUUUAUGCUCACUAUUAAAUUUUCAGAAUUGUCCCUACUUGCUCUCUCUCUUGAGCUCACCUACUAUGCAUACAUAUUCAUUUUCUUUCGAUGCAUAAUUACUUUAUUAUGUGUGCGCAAGCAACGGUAGCUGCCAGGGGUGAGCAGCGGUCUAGGGUUGACCCUGGAUCAACCAUGGACCGGCCCAACCCUGUCGAUCCUGGUCCGGUUCCCAAGGGGACUGUAUCGGUUCUUGGUCCUGAAAUUCCAGGACUAAUACUGUGUGGGUUAGUCCUCGGUCCUAAGAGUUUUGGUGAGGUGGCUGAAGGAGACACUGUCGAGAGGCAAUGAAAAGCUGCUCUGUGUACCUUUUAUGCCUUGGCUUUGUCAGACACUCUGGUCGUCUUGACAGAGAAAAUUUACUGGCAGUGGAAGGUUGUCAUCUGUAAGCUUCUCGAACGGGUGAACGAGGAAUGCGAUUUGGGGGCUUUGGGUAUUUUGACAUGGAGAUUUUUCUAUGACUCCUAUUCAAAAUGUAUUAAUGGGAGCAUUUUUUAUGGCCUGGGAAUGGAUUUGGUCACUUUUGCUAUGGAUCUCUUAUGUUCAAACUCGCUGGAUGAGCAGCUGAUAGGAGCCAGGAUUCUUCACUGGUUCUCUACGAAAGAACAGUUUUCAGAUGACACGCUUCAGAAGAUCGGAACAACUCUGCCAGUCAUACAGAGACUGGUGGAGUUCUUGAACUGGAAAGACCCACAAGAGGAAGAAAUCAGGCUAUCAGCUGCAGAAAUAGUUUCCAAAUUAGCCGGGGAGAAGCAAAACUCCCUUCGCAUUGCUGGAAUUCCCAGGGCAAUGGAAUCGAUAUCAUCUCUUCUCUCAACAAAUGGAAGCCCCAGUUCUGCAGCAGACAAAAUUGGCGAACAGAAAAUCAUCUUUGACCAUGAAGACUAUGGAUACUGGAUUUCCAAUAAUUUGGGACUUCUCAUUCUGAAGAAACUAGCUCAUGAUCAUGGUAACUGUGGAAAAAUUGGAAACACAAGGGGCCUUCUUUCCAAAAUCAUAGAUUUCACUCGUGGUGACAAAAGAAUAUUGAAGGACUCAACCAUUACCACAUCGCAGGUUUUGACUGUUAAAAGAUCCCUUCUGGUUAUAAAGAAGCUGGCAAGCACAACAGGUACCAUAGGAAAAAAAUCUCUGGAGAGAGAUCUCAGAGAUAGUCUACACCAUAAGCAAUAUAAGAGAUAUACUACGACAUGGAGAGAAACAACCAGAACUUCAGAAACUAGGGAUUGGGAUCCUUACCAAUUUAGCACAAGACAACAAUGCGACAGAAAAGAACUGUUAAAGAUUUUCUUCCAAGGAGGGCCAGAAAAUCAAAGGGAUGUGAGGAUUGUGGCCGGAGAAGCACUGGCAAUGCUGGCUUUCGAGAGCAAGAGUAACUGUCACUGCAUCUUGAAGUUAAAUGUAGUGGAGAAGCUCCUAAAAGCAUUGGAGAUUCCGCUUCUUCAUGUUAAUGCUGGAAGAAUUUUGAGGAAUCUGUGCACUUACAGUGGGCCAGAGUCCUUCAACCAGCUAAAGGGAGUAACAGCAGCGGCACCAACAGUAGGUGCAUUAUUUUGCAAAAAUUGAACCUGAGCCGGCAUCUCAAUAACCGGAAAGGGCAGUUAUGUACAAGUUUAAGUUGUUCCUGAGAGAAUGAUAUUAAUUGUUCCUACCUAACCAUAUUUGUUCAACUCAGGUUCUCAAGGCAAUCUUGUCAGGAGAAGGCAAACUACAAGAGGUGAUGGUUGGGUUAGCGGUACAUGCUUUCAAGUUCAUGACAGCAGAAGAAUUGACUGCCGUCGAGAGGGCAGGGUUUAGAGAAGCCAAAUUAGCUUGCGCUUUGGUCAAGAUCCUGAGGAGCCACUGGAACCCACAUAUAAAUGUUCCAAGAAUGAGAAGGUUUGCAAUCAAGUUGGCAAUCUGGAUGAUGAGAGAGAAAUCAACAAAUGUGCAGAUCUUCAGGGAUCUGGGUAUGGAGGAGGAGCUUGAAGGAGUAAUGGAUACGACAUCAGAGCUAGAGAGCUUCAAUAUUUUCUCUGGCACCAUUGGACUAAGCAGGCACAGCACAACCAUUCACUCACUUGUUGAGACCGCACUUAUGCUGCUGAAGAACAACAUGAUUGAUCAAACAAAAGAUUACUGACACAGUGAUGAUGCCAAAAUAUCCAACAAAUGGAAAACAUGAAGGCAUGCCGGUUCAUUCUCCAAUCCCAGAUGUAAAGAAAUAAAUGUAAUUGCUUCUUUGGCAACUCUGUCCCACAUAAGUAUGAUGAAAUGCUUCCGAAAGUUAGCACCUUCCUUAUUUGUUUGCACAGGUUUUGUGCGAUUAACAGCACACCACAAGUACUGCUACCAAAACAUAUGCAAAAUGUGUACAUAGACCACAUUCUUAUAAUUUACAUUUCAACUCCUGUACAUUCAAGCAUCCAAGUGUCGCAUAUACCAUGAUUCUGAGCUCACAACUUCUGCUAUUAUAAGAUGAGAUCUUUCCUUCCAAAUCUUGUUCUACUUAGCAGUGAAUCUAAGACUUGAGGAUGAUAUAAUUCAGGGCCAUCAACACAUAUUUUCACAUGACUACGCAAGAACAAGCACUCUGAAAGGCAAAUUCAUCAGGCAACUGAAGUUAAUUGAAAGAAAAUAGAUAACUCAUUGCUUAGUCUGCGAUUGUGGAAGGAAAUCUAUGAACCCAUAAAUCAUCAAAACCACUCGUAUAUUUCGAAAUCAUAAGCACGGUAUAAUCACAAAGCCUGUUUGCUUAUCUAUUCAUCAACGAAUCAGAUGCGAGAUAUAGCUUCAAAGUUGAUCGCCGCUUGGUCCAGUGAGUCUCUCCUGACCCUUCUCCUCCCCCUCCUCGCCCACAUCUUCCCUGUCGUGAUAAGGGUUUGCCACCAACCCUUCUUGCCUCAUUAGAUUGAGCAGGAACCGCCGCUCCAGAAUAGGAAACCGCCGCCCUCUCUCCUCCUCUUCGAGCAUCCGAGAAUGCAGGUAGCACAAUUCGAGUCUCCGCAGUUGGGCUCGCAUCUCGCGGAACUCGUGCUCCGAGAUCGCGACCUUGUGAAUCAUGCUCACCGCCACCUCCGUCCUCUUGCGCCCCUCGUUGCAAGGGUUGCUAACGGCGCUGGACGCGACCCUUGCGAUCUCAGACGCUACCUCAUCACGGGUCAGGCACUUCUUCGUUGCCUUCGUCUCCGCACUUAAGUCGAGCCACCAUAGCCGGUCCAGCAAGAAGGGCAGCCGCAUGUCGUCCAACACGGAGGACACGAUCGCCCAGGACGGCGAUGAUGGCAGGUGGUCGCGGGAGGCGAAUGGCGCGCUCGGGUGCUCGGCUCGGUACGAAAAGGUACGGUGGUCGAGGAUGCGAGGCGGGAAUUCAGUGCCUCCUCGUACCUGGGACUGAAGAUAGCAGAGUUGGACAUGGAAUGACACGAUCACACGAGGUCCGGGCAAGGACUGAUCGUCUGGAACAGGCGUUGGCAUUGCAGAGACUAAAGUUUGAUAAUUCGACAUCUUUUCGAGAAAUCGUUGAGAUGGUAAAGUGGAUUGUUCUUGAAUUGGGCAUUGUAUAUAUAUACAUAGCGAAGAUCUCUAAAACUUUCCUUUUCUGAACGCAUGAUAUAUUUAUUUUUUUAUUUUUUUAUACUUUGAAUUACUUGUAUUACUUUUUUUUUUUUUGGAAUUUACCUUUUUAUUUCCUUGUCUAGUAUUUUUAUAUUUUAGGCAACUUCCUCUAGUUUUAACCCAGGCGAGCCGACUUUUUCUCACAUAAUAGUAAAAAUACACGAAUGUUGCAUGAAUUUAAAAAAAAAAUUCAAGAAAUUGUUUUAUAACAAAAUACUUAAAUUUUUUUUAUUAAAUAAUGGAGUUGCUCAUUGGAAAGAAAUAAAAAUUCAAGAUUUAAAUCUUUUUUUGAUAAGCUCGUUCAUAGGAUGGAAAAAUUCAAAUUUGAAAUUGAAGAUGCCAGAGAAAAUAUGAACAUAUAAAUUUAUAUAUUUAGCUGCCGAUAGAAUAUGGAAAAAAGAAAAAAAGGAUUGUGAUCGUCUUUACUUCAUCUAACAAUAAACUUAUUACAAAACUUAGAGUGCCAACAUUAAAUGGUAAACUUGAUGAUUGGGAAGCAAAAUUUCAAAUUGAUUUUUAAUUACAAAAAACCAUUUUCUUCUAACAUCCUGUGAAGGGGAAAACAAAUCGCAUGGAAGAAUUAACAAAAAAAAUCCUAAACUUAUUAUAAUUGCGUCAAUUCAAUCAUAACAUUUUUUUUGUCAAUUAAAUCUUAAAUCUUUUAUAUUUUUGCAAUCCGACCAAUUUUAACCGGUUAGGCUAAUAUGACACGGCUAGCAUUAACGUAGACAUUUUAAAUAAUAUUUUAUUUUUUUUAAUUAUUUAUUCAUUUAUUUAUUCUCUUUCCUUUUUCACUAAGAGUAAGUGCACCUCUUUUGCAAAAAGUGAACCUCAGCCGGUAUCUCGAUUACCAAAAAGGGUGGUGAGGGACAAAUCGACAAAUGUGCAGAUCUUCACCAAUCUGGGCAUGGAGGACGAGUUUGAAGGAGAGCAUACGGCAUUAGAGCUAGAAAGCUUCAAUUUCUUCUCUGGCAUCGUUGGACUAAGCAGGCACAACACGUCCAUUCACUCACUUGUUGAGAUUGCGCUUAUGCUGCUGAAGAGCAAUCUUUGAUUAAUUAAUAGGUUACUGACCAAGUGAUGAUGCCAAAUUGUCCAUGUAGGGUGCGCUACAUGUUUUAUUCUCUAAGGCUGCGUUUGACAGUCAAGAUAAAAUUCAUGAUAAUAUAUAAUUUAUCAUAUCCUACAUUUAGUGCUUGUUUAGGAUAGGAUAUAGUCGGAUAUAAGAAUGAUAUAGGUUGAAUAAAAUUAUCCCAUGGGAGAGGUGUGAUAAAGGUGAAUAAAAUUUAUAAUGUUUAUAAUAAAAAAGUUAUUUUUCUCAAAUAACAAACUUAUUAAAUUAAAAAAAAUUAAAACUAUAUAUCAAUAUAAAUAUAUUUGAAUUCUAAUUUAAGAAAUUAAAAUAAAAAAUAAAAACAUAUUUUUUAAUUUAAUCUUAUUUUAAUUUAUAUAUUCAACUUUAGAACAUUCCAUCAAUAAAUUAUAUUAAUAUUUAUUAUAUAGAUUUUAGGUAUUUUUAUAUUUUAGGUAUUUUAGUACAGUUUACUAUUUGAUAAAAUUUUAUUAAAGAAAGAUGAAAGGGGAAAAAAUAAUAGAUUAAAAAGGAGGAAAUAUAUAUUAAAAAUAAAAUAAAAAUAAGUUAAGGAAUAGUGUCACGAGAGAUUUUCAUCAUCUCCGUUUAUGAACUUUUAGAUUCAUUUAUAAUGAUAUGCCGUUUAUAUUAAAAAAAUGUACGUGAUAUGAUGUGAAUAUAUCCGAUUUUAAUAUUGCGAUUCACUAAACAACAGAUAGGAUAUGAAAUCAUAUAGAAAAAUUCCAGGAUUUCAUAUCCUAUCCUAUCCAGUCCUAUCAUGGUUAGAAAUCCGAACGACCAAACAUAGCCUAAUUUUAUAUGUAAAGAAAUAAAGGGGAAUUGCUUCUUUAGCAACUCUGCCGGCUUAAAUCUAAUUCAAUUAUUCUAAAAGUUAUCACAUUCUCUAUCUGUUCGUGUAGAAUUUGAGAGAUUGAUUAUAUAUUACAUGCACUAAAACAUAUGCAAAACAUAUACAUACAACUAAACAUGUUUUUCAUUUUUUAAUUGAAAUCCCAAAACAUUCAAGCAUAUGAGAGAUGCAUAUACGGUGAUUCUGAGUCACUACUUCAAAUAUCAAAAGAUCAAAUUUUUGCCAUCCGAAAUCUUGUUCUACUUAGCAAUGGAUUGAAAAGCUAAUGGACAAUAUAAUCUAAGGCAAUCAUGACAUAUUUUCAAAUGACUACACAAGAACAUGCGUGACGUACCGAUUUUCCAAUUCUAUUUUCAAUAAAUUGAGAUGGGCAUUUCGUUGGCACACAUAUAGUUCUUUUCCUUGAGUCGGCCACUCAUGUGAAAACUAGUCUAUCAGGUGAAGCCGUUAAGAAAUUCUAAUGUAUCAGACUCGAGAAUUUGACUAGGAAGCGAUCUUUUGACCGAGCUAAUUUGCAAGGGUCAUUGCGGCACAAUUAAAAAUUGUUUAGAGAUCGGAGAUAGGUCGACUCGACAGAGGCAUGUGAUCAGGUGUGGGUGAUUCCUAAAGAUUGCACAAUUCUAGUUGAUCGGCACUGGACCGACUUUUCUAUCGAUUGGGUACCCUGUGUCCAUAUUUAAAACCUUGAGAUUACCGACAACCGAAAGUCGCCAAUGUUUCAAAGAUGUACAUUGUGGCUUGAGAUGAUCAACCACAAGUCAAAUGCAUGAAAAUUUAUAAAGGCUACCCGGUAGGUUGGGCCACGCUAGUAUCGUGCCAAAGUGAAAUUAACCGUGGAAUUGAGAUCGAAUUCAGAAAUUGGAAGUAUGGGUGUGUCACAAAUCAUUUUAGGAAUAUUAACUCAUCUUCGGAAGAUUUUUCAUGUAAUCAGAAUUUUUCAGAAAUUAAAUCAGAGAAUGGCUAAUUUGGCUCGAGAAAUUAGUAGGUCCGCUUUUGGUCGCGCUUUUGGGACUUAAGUUGGUUCUAUGGACAAGUGAAGAUGCGAAUUGAAGUGUGGUAACAUUGGAUUAAUUUUAUGGACUUUAAUUGGACUCAAUUGGAAGAGAAUUGAGUGGAAUUGAAGAAAUCGUUGCACAAAGUUUUAUGCCCCGGCGGAAAAUGAAAUUGGACCCAUUGAAAUAGGUUGUAGAGGAAAAUGAGUUAGUGGAAGAUGACAUGGGAUGAUGUCAUGGUGGUUGGGCCAAAGAGAAAGUGGAGGGUGGAUAUUGGCUCUUGGAAAAGCACCCAUCAACAUCAUCUUCAAGCUUGGGACUUUGGAGGGGAGAGAAGGGGGAGCUUCGACCAGAAGCUAGCCGAGCCCGACGCCGCCCUCUUCGCCCACUUGCACGCCUGUUCGCUGGAGCUCGCCGUCGCGGUCGCCAUUCGCCCGCACGCCUGUCGCCGUGCCCGCUUGUCGUCGCACCGCCUUCUCCGCUCCGCUUCGCUCGCGUCAGCCCAUCACCACCGUUGUCCAGAGCUGCAUCCAGCGUCGCCGGCUGCCGUUCACCGUCGCCAAGGUCGCCGGAGUCUCGCCUGCAGCCGCCGAGACCAGCUGCUGCCACCACCGGUUCUCCUUCGCUCAAUCGAUGCCGGAUCCGCUCCCUCUCGACCCCAAGACAGCAACCAAGAAAAUGGGUACGGCAUUCCAUGUUUGGCCCGUUUCGGCCGCCUUCCCGAGCCCGGAUGCUCGGCCCGCCUUGAGAAAAGUCGAUCCUCGCAUCGUCCUUGUCAUUUUGGUUCGCUCGGCUCGCUAAUCUGGCGAGUUUAACUCACUAAACAUUGAUUAGACGGUUAAUGAUGCCCUAAGUGUGAUUAGCCUAAGUUAAGUAAGCUUAGGUGAUUAGUUUAGUUUAUUUAAUUGUGAAUUAGAUUAAGAUGUUUGUUUAAUUUAAAGCAUGUUUAAUUAAAGGCUAAGAGAGUUUAUUUGAUAAUAAACCUUGACGGGACAUAAUAGGAUUUUAAUUUUGAAUUAUUUAAUUGUUUCGAAAUUCUGGAAAUUAUAAUAUUAUAUUAUAAUCCGAAAUUAUUAAAAUAUUAUUAUAAAAAAAAGUAAAAGUUAUUGUUGACCCGGUUGCUCAGAAUUUCGUGCUGAUCGCUGCUGUGUAGUCAAAUUUUGAAAUUGAUGAUUGGAUAUUAUAAAUUGAGCGUGGAUCGUGAAAGAUAUGGAUAUUAUUAUUUAAUUAAUUUUCGAAAUAAAUUUAAUUAGUUAAUAAAUUCCGAAAAAUGAUUUUGAGACCCUAAAUUCUCAGAAUUUCGUGUUGAUCGCUGCUAUGCAUUUAGAAUUUGAAAUUGAUGAUUGGUUGUGGCAAAUUGAGUGUGAUUGCGAUAAAUAGAGAUUCUUUAUAAAAUCCUAAGUGUGGAAAUUGAUGGGCGAUUGGCCGUGAUAUGCCACCUAUUAGAGGUCGCGCCUAGUGAGGCCAUGAUAUGCCACCUAUUAGAGGUCGCGCCCAGUGGAGCCGUGAUAUGCCACUUGAUAAAGGUCGCGCUCAAUGGGGCCGUGAUAUGCCACCUGAUAAAGGUUGCGCCCAGUGGGGCCGUGAUAUGCCACCUAUUAGAAGUCGCGCCCAGUGGGGCCAUGAUAUGCCACCUAUUAAAGGUCGUGCCCAGGGGGGUCAUGAUAUGCCACUUAUUAGAGGUCGCGCCCAGCUGGGCCGUAAUCUACCACCUUUUUAAAGAUCGUGCCGAGUGGGGUCGUGAUGCCACUGAUUCUAAUUGUGCCGAGUGGGACCGUGAUUGCCACUGAUUGUUAAACUUUCCUAUAGGGCUGUGAUUGAGAGCAAUGAUUGAUUUGCUAGAAUGACAUGUAAUCGGCCGAGUUGAUUGAUCGCUGAGACGAUCCAAGUGGUUGAAUUGUUUUGAUAAUGUGAUUGUGCCAUGAUUGUUUGGUUAUCAUAAUUGUACGUGGUUGAAUUAUAUAAAUUGUGCUAACCUGCAGAUGAAGGCUAAUGCGAGGUAAGUCUUUUGUGUGAUGUGGCUAGGCCACCCGGGGCGUAUUUUCUUUCUAAUAGGGGUUUAUGGGUUGAACUUGCUGAGACAUUGUCUCAUCCCGGUUUGGGGAUUACAAUUUCAGGUCCCUAGUGGACGGAGCGGCUAGAUAGCUUUGGUUGGCCUUGAGGAGUUGCAGAGGUGAAGUCAUAAGGAUUGGAGAACGUGUCUGACUUGUAGGUCGUAGGACAGUUCCUUUUUAAGAGCCGGUCUUUUGUAGACUUUUGGCCGUAGACCUCUGUUUGUAAUUCUGUUGAAUUGUGAAAGUGUCAUGUUGUGGUUUUGUUUCCUGCUUGUCUAUCCCGUAUUUCAUUGUCAGGGGUUUUAUAAUACGUUCCGCUUGCGCAAUAAUUAAUGAAUGGGGUCGGCGACAUUACUUGGGAAUGUCGCAUUUGCAUGACCAUGGUGGGAUAUUGGCGUGCUCGAGGUUCGGGGCGUGACAACAUGACCCCCAAAAGGCAAUUCAUCAUGCAACUAAAGUUUAAUAAAAUGAAAAGAAAAACCACAUUACUUAGUCUUUGACUAUGGAAGGAUAUCUCACAAUGGAUCCAUAAAUCAUCUGAGUUAUUUGCUAAUUUGAAACCCUUACAUAGAAUAGAAUAACUUAUAGUUAAACAACUCACUUUAUAAAACAAAAGGCAAUGAACUAUGAGAAUCUAGACAUUUUUGUGAUUUAAUUCGCAGUAACCUCAUUACCGGUCAAUAUCAAGGGGUGUCUGUUGAGUUAUUUCCCUAACCCCUCCCCUUGUUGAUUCCAUAUUGUCUUGCUCCUUAUAGUACCCACUAGGCCACUGUGAUAUUUUACGACAUGUGGUCUUCUUUUGUCAGAACCUUUUAUGAACUUGCUUCGGUCCUAAGUGAAGAAGAAAUGGUGGAGGGAAGGAAGGACGUGAAAGAACAAAAUUGAAUUAAAACUGUCAAAUAACUAUAUAUGUCCCGGCCAAAACAUCAUUUAUCUCGUUUUUCUUUCUAUUUUUGUAAAUUACCCUUCACUUCUUUCUCUGUUUUACUUAUCAAUUUCUGAAAUAAUCACUCUGUUUCUUUCUAUUUUCUUGGAACAUUGGAGGCAAUAAAGUUUGCCACCAUUUUUAGCUAUUCGAAAUGAAAAGUUCUGAUCGAUAAAAACAGAAACACAUAACCUAAACGUUGAUAUCUUUAGAGGCUUUAUAAAAAAAAAAUUUUAAAAAAAAAUUGAGGUGAUAGAGAUUAAAUAAAAUGUCCAAUUUCAAACACACGCUAAUAGUAGAGCUUAUGAUUGUACAAUGACGCCUCAAACAUUUGAUCUUAUUUAGAGUCAGAAAAUAUAUUUUACUCUAUUUUAACAGUAAACAAAAUAUAUAUGUAAUACAUGAGUGUGUGCUCAAGCACUCCAAUUCCAAUGGUCGAAAACAUACUCUUAUACAAAAGAAACACAUAAUAUUCAUAUAAUGUUAAUUUUUGAAAUUAGCUGCUCUAAAUUCUAAUCACCGUUAACGAACCUAACUUUCUGCAUUAGGUGGGGCUUGUAAUUUAAGCCCUAUUUUAUCCUUUCGGUUGGGCUAGCAAGUUCAUGGUUCAAGCUUUUCUAAAAGAUUUCUUUGUCCAGGUAGAGAAAAAGCAAAUUCGAUAAAAUUUUAGUUUUUGAGUUAACCAUGCACCGUAAACAAAAAACAUAAUUAUGAUACAUAUGCUUACAAGGUGAAUUUAUUGUUUAAGUAUUUGAUAAUUAUAUUUUAAAGUCUUGGAAUUUGAUCAUAUAAAUACAUUUUUAAAAGAAUUUAAAAAGUGAAAUAAUUUUGGGUUAAAUGGCCAAACCGUCCUGGAUCAAACCGAGUAAUUUUCGGUCUAGGCUUUCGAGUUUUCCAUACUAAAUAAUAAAAGGAUUUGGUUACAAAAAUCAAAUAUUUUUCGUAAUCAAUCAUGAUCACUUGGAAAAUUAGAAAAAACUUGGAUCUCAAUACUCUUAGUCGACAAGUUGUACCGACACAGAGAACAUGUUUGGUGUUCCCAAGCUUCGAUGCAAUUUUUUGUGAAAUUUAUGAUGAGCUUGAUGUUUGGGGAAAAAGUUUUUAAACUUGAUUAUUGACAUGCGAUAACUUCUCAAAUACAUUUUUCUUUUCAAAUAUUCGGACUCGUAAAAUUUGAUAGUUGACUUUUGAUUUUGAAGGGAGGCUCAAGAUAUUAAAAUACGGAUAUGUAAAUUCAUAUAUAAAUUUCGUAAUAUUUUGGAGCUUUCAGUGAAUUCUUUGUUAAGAUUUGGAAAAGAAAAAAGAGAGGCAGGUUGUGCGAUUUCUUUAAAUUAAUCCAAACAAACUCUCAAUCUAUAACUUCAAAUUGAUGAUAUAGAUAGGUUUGGUUCAAGUUACAGAAUUUUAAUUUACUAGGAGAAGAUCGGAACAUGGUAAUGGAGCUCAUGCAGUCAGAGGAAGGUAAGGGUGCAAAAGAAGUCUAAAAGUCCAGAAAAAAAAUCCACGGUAGAUAAUAAAAAGACUUUUUUUCAGGUCUCAAGAUAAUAAAAGAACUUGAUUACACGUUAUAUAAUCGCAAAAAAAGACAAAUUUUAAUAUAGCCAUAACAAGUAUUCAUAAUAUUUGAUGUGCGGUAAUAAAAAAAAUAAUCAUCGUAACCUAUAAUUCCGAACAAUGACUUGUUUGAAACUCUAUAUGCAUCCAUGUAAUUAAUCUUGAAUCUCCAGUCUCCUAAGGAAAUCGGAAAAGUUAAAAAUCUCUUGACUUCUAGGGGGACAAGGGGCGCCGACAUAGGGGGCAUGUGGGGUGUACCUUCAACCAAGUUUUGAUGCAAUCUGUGUGAAAUUUAUGAGAGCAAUCCAUGCGAAUAAGUUGGCCUCCGAUCGCAACUUCUUCCAUGCAAAUCACACAAUGCGAACUAUUUGAGCCUUGAUCACCCUCAAACGUCACUUUGUUCAAGCUUUCAAUCAUUGACUUAUGUGCGGCUCCGAAGUUGAUCCUGUCUUGGUCCACCGACUCCCUCAUGACCCUUAUCCGCAACACACCCUCCGUGUUGCGAUCAGGGGUUGUGACUGCUCCUUCUUGCCUCGUUAGAUUAAGCGCGGAUCGCUGCCCCGAAAGUAGCCGCCGCCAUCUCUCCUCCUCUUCGAGGAUCCGCGAAUGCAAGAUCCGCCACUGGAGCCUCCGCCAUCGGGCUCGCAUCUGGUGCUCCGAGAUGGUGACCUUGUGCACAAUGCUCACCACCAUCUUCGUCCUCUUGCGCCCCUCUCUGCAAGUGUCGUUCACUGCGUGGGACGUGGCCCUCGCGAUCUCGGACACAAGCUCGUCGCGAGUGAGGUACUUCUCGGUCACGUGCAUCCCCACACUCACGUCGAGCCAUCGCAGCCGGUCCAAUGGGAAGGGCAGCCGCAUGUCGUCCAACAUGGAGGACACAAUCGCUCGCGACUGCGAUGAUGGCGAUCUGUCGUGGGACACAAACGGUCCGCUCGGGUACUCAGCUCUGUACCAAAAGCCACCAUCGGAGGCACGAGGCGGUAAUGCAGUUCCUCCUCCUACUUCAGACUGAAUAUAGCGACGUCGGACGAUGCAUGACAUGAUCACCCGAGGUUGGGGCAAAGACUGAUUGUCGGGAAUAUACGCUGGCAUCGCAAAAACCAAAGUAUGAUCACUCGCCAUCUUAAAAGGGAUGUCGAGAUGGCAAGCCAAACAAUCUUGGAUUGGUUGGAUUGGGUAUAUAUAGGUAACAUUACUAAUCCGAAUAGGAAACUGCACUGUUUCCUAGACUGCCUUUGACAAGAUUCCUGUGAAAAAUUAAUUUUUUUAUUUUAUUUUUGGCUUUGUUUUAUCAAGAUUGAAGAGUGUGUCUUAUCUUAUAGGUCGUGAAAUCACCGAAAUUUAUGAAACACAACGCUGGCACUGCAGAAACAGAACUUUGAUAGUUAUUUAAUCAUUUAAGUAAAAUGUUUCGAGUACUUUCCUCUUGUUGAGAUAUCUUAUAACCUGUGCAAUUACCAAUAUUUACGAAAAAUUGUAUCUGUGAGAUUUUCUCUGCUUAUUAUUAAAUAGACUUCCAAGAUUUCUUUGAGUUGUUGAUCCGGAAAACUUGCUAUUGAAAGCGGCGACUAAAGUUCAAUAUCUUAAUACGUGGUGAUCUGCAAGAGAGAUCCCAUCGAUGUAUCCAAUUGGACCUACCUAAGCUUAAGUUAAAGAGCUAUGCACAAGUUAUUUGAUUAAUCAACUAACCUAAAUCACUAAUUCGUAUAUGAUGAAAAUGUAUAAAAACAUUACUAGGUUUACUGCACGGGUUUGGCUUCACGUAUUACCAAAAUAAAAAUCAAUAAACGAAAACAAAAACUAUUUGGUAUUGUAAAUGAAGGGGAAAUGAAAAUAGCUUCUAUACUAAUUUCAUGCAUUCAACAUUAGUUACCAUAAAUUUGUUCAACUGAAAGAAAACCAUAAUCAUCAACUGAUAGAACAGUUAGCUUAGCAGAAAAAAAAGAAAAAAAAAGAAAAGGAAUUUCUGAAAUUUCAUCAAUUCAUCUCCUUAAUAACUAGCUUCAACAUUGGAUCAUGGACUCAUGGGCUGCUCUGGGGUUGACCCUUGCUAAUUGGGAUAAUUACCAAAAGAGUCUUAAUCUUAUUGCGGUCGUACAAAUUCAGUUCUAAACUUUUUUUGGCUAGAUGAGUCAUAGACCUUUUAUAUUUGUGUCAAUCCAGUCCAUCUAGCCAAUGUUGACAUAGCACGACCUGUGCUCACAUAACCCAGCCAACACUACCGUAGAUAAUUUUUAAUAAUAUUUUAAUAUUUCUCAAUUUUUUUAAUUCUUUUUUUUCCUCUUUCUUCUUUCUCUGAUUAGUGGGGGAGACCCUUACCCACCUUGUGCCGGAUCCAACGAGGCUCAACCUCGCUAGUUAAGCUCCCUUCACUGAGCAACGAUGAGGGCUCGUUUCGCUUAUGGCUAGGUGAGGUCGCCCUUGCCUAGCGAUAGCAAGACGAGCCUCGCUAGUGGCCAGCAACUAGUCCGGUGAUUGGGUAGAGGAAGAAGAAAGAGGACAAAAAAAGAGAGAAAAAAAAAAGAAAAAAAAGAGGAAAAAUAGUUAAUUUUUUUGAAAAAUAUUAAAAUAUUAUUAAAAAUUAUCAACGUCAACACCGGUCGUGCCACGUUAGCGCAAGCUAGCCAAAUUUGGAUGAAUUGAUUGAAUUUGCACAAAUAUAAAAGGUUUAGAACUUAUUUGAUAAAAAAAAAGUUUAUGAUUGAAUUGAUAUUAUCAUAAUAAGUUUAAAACUUCUUUUGUAAUUCUCCCCUUGCUAAUUGAUUUAUUGACUCCCUCUUCACUCUCUUCCUUAGCUCAUCUAAUUUCAACUUGUGAUUAGGGCUUUACUUAUUAUGCGGGAAAUAAAUUAUUUUAAAAAUAAUUACUAAAAUCAUCAUCUGUAUCCCUUGAAAAAAUUGGUCAAUGGAAAAUCUUUAUUAUCAUUUUUUUUUUCCAUUUUUCAUUGGGCGCACCAUUUAUCCUUCUGGUUACAUUACAUCAAACCAAAACUCCCGGUCCAAGGCUCGUAUUUUUCUCCCGCUUUCCUCCAUGGAGGAAACGGUUGCCCAUGACGGCAACGAUGGCGAGCGGUCGUUAGAUGCGAAGGGCCCGCUCGGCUGCUCGAAUUGGAAGGAAAAGCUACGGUCGUCAUCCACGAUACACGCCGGAGAGUUUGGUCCUUGUACAUCGGACUCAAUAUGGUAGCAAUUGACAUCGCACGAUAUGAUUCGAAGAGCAUGAGACAAAGAUCGAUCAUCUCGUCUAAAAGCGGGUUUUGCAGAAACUAAACUUUGAUAAUUCAACAUAUUUGAUGAAAAUUUUUUCAAGACUGAUGAAGUGGAUAUUUUUUAGUGAAACGUGACUUGAUUCUGCUAGAAAUCGGCUCGUGUUAGACAAGAAACAUUGCCAAUCCAAAAUAGGAAACACAACGUUAAUAUGUUUCCUGAAGUCUCUUUAAUCAUUGAAGUGAAAUUUUAAGUCCCAAACUUUUUUUUUCUUCUGGCUUUGGUUGUCAAGAUUGGAGAGAAUAUCUGAUCAAAUCAUCAGCAUUUACGGAAGAUUAUGUGUUAGAAAUUAAUCUGAUUAUUAGAUAUAGAUUCUCAAGAUAUUUUGAAUAGUCAGUCCCCAAAAACUUUUCUUUUCCAAACACAUGAUAUCUGAAUUAAAGAUGCUUUAAAUCACUUGUAUUUCCCUAAAGUUGCCCACUUUUAUUUCUUCAUCCAUAUCUUCCUUUUGGGCAACAUCCACCUCUAGUAUCAAACCCAAGUAAUUGUUUUUUUUUUUUUUUUCAAUAUACUAGCAAAAAGGCAUAUUGGCCCCCCGGGGGGGGGGGGGGAUUAAUGAAAUUUAAAAGAUUUAACAAAAAUUGCCUUAUAACGUGAUAUUUGAUUUAUUAAAUAGUGAAACUAGACAAAGAAAAGGAAAAAAAAAAAUCUUACGAUUCAAAACUUUUUUUCAUUAAGGGUGUUGAUUUAAAUUUUAAAUUAAGGCAUGUGAGAGAUAAAAUAGAAUUACUAAUUUACUCAUUUCUCCAAUGAUGAAAUAUCUAUGGAAUAACUUAUUGAUGAUAUUUUGGAAAAGAAAAUAUUUCUAUAAUUGGAAAAAUAAAAAUAAAAAUUUAAAGGAUUGUUAUUUAUUGUUUCUAUACCUCAACUAAGUUAUAAAGAAUAAUAAAGUAGCUAUCCGACUUUAAAAAGGCCAUUGAAAAAAGUCAUGUAAUGCUAAAACUGAGGGACCAAAUUUCGUUUCUUUUGAUCAAAUUUGAGAACUUUAAGCGAGUUUAUGUUAGUUAUUUGAUGAUCGUAUUUAGAGUCUUGAAAAUUGACGAUACACAAAUUUUUUUAAGAAACUUCUAAAAAUAUAUAAAAAAAUUAGACUAAAAGCCUUGAAUUGGCACAAGACUGCAUAAUUCCAAUCUUGGCUUUCUUUCACCGAAUCGAAAGCAAGAUGUAGCCUUACAAGAGACGUUUCGAAGAAGAAAGAGAAAGGAAAUUGGAUAAUAUAUGAUAAAGUGUAAUUACAAAGUGGCUUGGGAAUCGACUGCUGAUCGGAGAAGAAUUAAACCCACAAGCAGAAACUUCAUUUACAUCAAGUGGUGUCCUAGAAAAACCAGAAAAGACUGAGGCUUCAAGACAUCUUGGCGGGCAACUCGCAGCGACACAGAGGGCAUGUUUGGUGUAUCUUCAGCCAAGCUUCGAUGCAAUCUUGAUGAAAUUCAUGAGAGCAAUGCAUCCGAACCAGUUGGUCUCCCAUCACAAUUUCUUCCGCGCAAAUCACGCAGUUCAGUUCACGACUCUCGUGGAUCUCGCUCUCCGAGACGGUGACCACGUGCGUCAUACUAACCAUCACCUUCGUCCUCUUGCGCCCCUUGUCGUUCACCUCGCGGGACAACACCCUCGCGAUCUCAGACACUAACUCGUCGCGGGUCAUGCAUGUCCUGCCCGCGUACUUCCCCGCGUUCAUGUCGAGCCACUGUAUCCGGUCCAAAGGGAAGGGCAGCAGCAUGCCCUCCAUCAUGGAGGGCACGAUUGUCCACUAUGGCGAGGAUGGCGAGUGGUCGUGGGACGCGAACGGCGUGCUCGGAUGCUCCGCUCGGUACGAAAAGCCACGUUCACAGAUUCGGCCUCCUGUUCCUCCUUGUACUUUGGACAGACUACAGUAGCUUUGGACAUGGCAUGACAAGAUCACACUGGGUUGGGGCAAAGAUUCAUCGUCAUCGUCUGGAACACGCGUUGGUAUUGCGAAGACUCGAGUGUAAUAAUUCGACAUCUUUACGAGAAUUGUGGAGAUGGCAAGUGAAAGCGUUCUUGGGUUGGGUAUGUAUAUAUAUGUACUGAGUCAUAGGACACCGCCAUUGACAGAAAUUUCAGGAAACAAGUUGUAUAGUUUCCUCUUUUAAGCUUUGGUUCGUCCAGAUUAGAGAAAGUCUAUGUCAAAGAUUUUGAGUCGUUUAUCCUAAAAACUUUCCUUUUCUCAAGAUAAGAUUUGAGUUACCCGUAUUUCUCAACAAUUAGCCGAUUUUAUUUCCUCAUUUGAUCUUUCGGCCAACUUCCUCUAGUAUCGGACCCAAGUGAAAAAACACCUUAUAACAUAAUAUUUCACUUAUGAACCAAAAAACAUAAUAUUUCACUAAUUAAAUAAUGACAUUGCACACAAGUAAGGAAUAAGUUUCAAAAUUUGAAAUCUUUUCAAUAAGGUUGUCCGUGAGAUAGAAGCUUCUUAUACAACCCCAUGAAAAAAAUUUCUUAUUCAUAUUUCACAUUAUUUUAAAAAUAUUGUGAAAUUACUGAUGGCUUAUACACAAAGAAGAUAGCGUGACCGCAACACAAUGUGACCUACCCCAAACUUAAUAGUAUUCUUGUCGCACUAAAUAAAGAGAAUCACCAUUUAGCAUUUAGCGUACCGAGUAACAUGGCUGUAUUGGGCGCUGCAAACACAAUCUUAAGCUAAGAUAUGACAUCUUUUGAAAUGCCAGAAAACUCAGCAGAAAAUGAUACAGAACAUUGUUUGCCAUUCUUUUCUGUGGUGCAUUGAUCGGGUUAAUAAGAAGGGCACAGCUCUCCCUUUGCCUUGACCACCGCCCCAAUGAACAUCUAAUAUAAUUUCCACUCCUUGGUGACACCAGCCACGAAAGAGUUCUUUCUUGCAUUCCUUACUUUGUCUUCUUCAGGGAAAAAUCCAUUUGACGAAUUUGGAAAGAGCUUAAAAGAGAAGGAUUAAAGAACAUAACGGCACCCACUGAACGACCUCACAAGCCAAUCGAAGAGACUUUUUCAUCAGUCCGAAGAUAAUCGACCACAGCCUUCAGGUCAUCCUUCUAGAGGGGCCAAAAAGAAAGUGAACUGGAAAUUAUAAAGAAUAAUGAUUUUAAAACAACCUGCAUAGGGAUAAUAAGUUCCGAAGCAUUGCAACUGAAGCUAACAAGUUUUAAUAAGACAAAUACAGAAACUAGCAAGCCCAAUGGCAAUAAAGGUUUCAACUUUGAGGAAAGUUGCCAAAACAGUCCUAAACCUAUUACAUACAUGUGCAAAAUAUUAGCAAGCCUAGUGGCUGCUUCAUUCUACAGCCUCUUCUAUGCUAAAAACUUUCCCCAAGACAUAAGUAUGCCUAGUGCAUGGGGAAAGUUUCAAAUCAUCUGUUCUUUUAUUUUUUUGCUCCCUAAAAAAAAAAAAACAAAAAAAAAAGAAUAUGUUUGGUAACAUCAAUUAAUUUUUCUAUUUUUUGAAAUAGAAAAGUAGGACGAAUAGAUUUGAAAUAUAAAUAAAAAAUAGAAAAAAAUAGUUUCUUAUUCCCAGGAAUAAUUUUUAGAAAUAAGUCCAUUUUUUUUCUUCUUCCUACUUGCCACUCACCACAUGUUGCAGCGGGUGGCAGCGAUGAUAAGCAAGAAGAAGUGAUGAGCAGCAAGCAUGAAGAAGAAAAGAAAAAAAAAAGAAAAUAAAUCUUAAAAAAUUUAAAAAAUUCUACAUUACAAAAAAAUUUAUGAAUUGCACAAAAUGCAUUCCUAUUAUAUUUCAAUUCUAAGAAUAGGAAUUUUAUAUAAUUACCAAAUGCGUUGUUUUACUUAGAAAUUAUUUUGGGAAGUAAAAAUAGAAGAAAAUUAUUUUUUAAAAAUUAUUUUUCGAAACAAAAUUGUUAGCAUUUGCACCCCCAGCGAAUUCAGCCACAAGCCAUGUCACGGUUUUCCUCACAUGAAACUUACAUAUGUGUCAAGUCAAGAGUUAAACAGGAGAAAGGCCCGACAAAAGAGUCCAAGGAAUACUUUUUGGCCAAGUCUUUAAUAAACAAAUGCCUGGAAGAAAACACAGAACAGUAGUUACUCCGAUUUACUAGUAGAAACUCACUUCGUUCCACCCCCAAAGUCACAUGUUCCUUCCCCAUAAAGUCCUGAUCCAGUGAAAUCGAGGGUAAAAACAGUAACAUUUGAAGGAAGCAAAAGUAUGGUCGCUUCACCCGCGUCAAUUCGACCCUCGUGCCCAAAACUGUGAUUUACAAGAGACUGUUGAAACUUUGAAAUUAUGCUAAAUUCAUUUAGUAUGUAUCAAACAGACAAUAAACUUGCUCCCAUAGCAGAAAAUCAUGCAUGGAAAAGGCUUUCCUUGACCAUCAACUACGGGUACAUAAUUACUACAUUUGAGGAAUCACGAAUAUAUGCAACCUGAAAAAUAUGUAGACCAAUAGAGAAGAAUUAUGGCAAAUAUGAGCAAGUGUUAUGGUCUCGAGGUUCCCGUGAUAAAGGAUCGUGCUAGACCGAUGGAGACCAUCCAAGUUCAGCCAGGUUUUGCCCUAGGAUUUAUGGAACAUUCUCAGAGAUGGGUGAGACAGUAAUUGAGUCAGGUUCUAAAAUUCUCUCGGCUUAGUUGGUAGGACAAGUGAUAUGAUCUUGUCCGCUAGAUUGAAUAUAAAUCAAUGGUUGUAAUGAGAAGGCCUUUAAUAUAAGAAGAGAUGCUCUCCCAUCAUUUUAUUCAUCCAAACAUUCAAUAAUAAAGAUCCAUUCUCUCCGGAGAGCUCUCUCUCCACGAUCCGUAUCAGAAGACAAUCCAUUACACAAUCAUGGAAAUUACAUCUUGGUGCUUAAAAAAAAAAUACAAGGGAGAAAAUUUGUCCAUUGAAGACACUAUUCUACAACUAAAAAUAACAUUCUUCCAUAUAUGACUGGUUGUUCCUAAAGGUCAUAAGCCUCUUCAUUGAACCAAAACCUUUAUUCAUCUGAUUUUCUAUGAAUAAAAAAGAUAUCAAACUUCAAGAAUGACAUAAAUUCAAUUAUGUCUCAUGAAUAAAAUAUAUUGAAAUCGACAUCGAUGCAAAUCUUUAAACUUUCAUUGAUUAUAGAUUCUAUAAAGAAAAUAGGUAAGAAUAAAUGCGACAUUUACUACGACACAAUGCGCUUUAGUUUUUUCCACUUCUGCUGAGAAAGUAAACAUCCAAAGACAUCCAUAAUAUGGCUUGCUAGCCCUUAGCAACCAUCAUUGUGGCUGUCAUAUGGAUGGACAUAUCCGAACAGGCGUGUGAUGCAAUUGAGGUCUUUUCCGAAGCAUUGCCCCCAUCAAAAAUCUCUUGGCUCAAAUCCAUGGACAAAGUUUUAGAUGAUGAUAAUAUGCUUUUAUCCGGACGGAGAUGGAUGUUUACUUCAGAUGUUGAACUGCAUGCUCUAGUGAAUGAAGGAUAGGAUUAUUCUUUUUAUUGAUAGUGGGAUUUAUCAGCUUAUGAUAAAAGCAGAACUUGACAUUGUGACAUCUCUUGAGAUAAUUAGUGAAUUUAAACCUUGUUCUUGAUCGGUAGUUUGGGAGAGUAAAAGUCAAACUACUAUAAAAUCCACUUUUAAUAUCUUCUAUCUUAAUAUCUAUUCAAAAAGACCAUUUGCAUCAAUUUUGUUCCCGCAUCUAUCGAGUUUUAACUUAGAUUAUACCAACAAAAAAAUAAAAUAAAAUUCUCUAGCUUUUAAAUCAAUUUGUCCAUCCCUCUAACUAGCAUUAUUCGCCUCAACGGUUGUUUGGUUUGGAUGUGGGGAAAAAAAAGCAAAAACCAAAUAAAUUCGAUAAUAGAUGGAGAUUUUCGAAAAUCAAAAUGAGAUAGUCAUCAAAUGUUUUUUUCCUUAACAAACAAUUUUAGCUUCGGACCGAAUAAUGUUUUUCAUGGAAGGAUGCACGUUUUUGUCGGGCCAUAAAUAGGUGACGACUUCCCUGAACAAAUUCUAAGAUAGACUACCCAUCUUGUUCAUUUCUCAUCGGUUUCUUACUCCCAUUCUUUUCCUUAUUUCAUGUCAGCAUGAGAAAUGCUCUUUUAAAUCAAAAUCUUUCCACCAUGUUCUUGCUGUCUCUGUCGUCUCAUUGGCUCUGUUCUUACCUGGGAAGCACUUGUUGGAGUUUUGUUUGAUAAAACAAAAUGAGUGCCUUUUUCUUUGUCUCACAUAGAAAAGGUGAGAGCAGGAGGGUCAGUUUAAAAAUGUGGAAUUUUCCUUUUGUGGUUAAAGGAGUGAUUAGGUGGGGCUAAACCCCACCAUACCCGCAUGCGGGUGCGCGAUUUUGGCGCACUUAGCACUUAGCACUUAGCACUUUAAUUAGCAUUAAUCCCUUGCUUUUUAUUUAUUUAUUUUUUGGUUCAAAGGUUGCCUUUUAAUUUGAGAAUUUCGGAAAUGAAAUAUAAAUGAAAAUUCGAAAUUCUAUUUAAAUAUAUAUAUAUAUAUAUAUAUAUAUAUUAUUCUGAAUUUUAUUUGUGUCUUUUCAAGACAACCUUUGGAAAAUUACUUAUUCGGUUUUAAUUUUUCCGAAGGAUUGCAAUUGUUCGUUUUUCGACUUCUUCCGAAGAGUCGCAUUUGUUUAUCCGAGCAAUUUUCUAAAGACGUGUCUGUUCGCAAUUUUCAUGAACAGUUGCAAGACUGUUUCAUAUAUAUAUACUUGUCAUUUUUCGGAAAGAGGUGUGUGGUCAUUUUCGAGUCUUCUUUCUGAAAAAAAAAACAGCAGCCAAUUUUCAAUUGUUUCUUAGAGAGACCCUGGAGAAAUACUAGAAUUGAUAUUUAGUAUUCUCAUCCGAGACUUUGUUGUAUCCUGGAGGAUUUUUGCCGGUGACCAUUAGCAACGUUGUGGGGCAAAUAAAUCCUUAAAGAAAGUGAUAUCACGCCUCAAAGUCCGAGUUGUUUUACUCGAUCCGAUUUCAUUGUACUACCCAAUUUCGAAGCAUAUUUUAACAACAGCACUCAGCGAGCACGUAACAGAGGCAAAAUCACAGAGAAUGUCCCGGCCUCAGUGCUGCGAGAACCCUCCAACCCUGACCCGGCAAGCGACAAGGCCAUGUUGAGAAGCUGGGUGGAGUCAAGAGCUAUGUCUCUGGUUCAUGCGACUCUAAUCUCACCAUCGUCCUCGAGUCUGAUGUGUUUGUUACUUGCAUUGUCCUUCCUUUUCAUCGAUGAAGUUUGCAUUUUGGGUUCGUAGUCGGUGCUUCUGGUUCAAACUGCGAGGUGGGUCAGUGAUUUAAGUUGUGAUUUGUCAUAAUCUCUGGGUCAACCUUUAAGUCCCGUUUUUUUUGGGUUGUAAUCUGAUGAAACUAUCUGAUUCCUGCUUUGGCGCGAGUGGCUACGUUUAUGGAGUAGGCUGUUUCUUGGAAGUUUAUAUUGAGAGUUGGUUCAUGAUGGCAUGUGAUUUAGCAAUUGGAGGUUACUGAAAUAGGAGCAUAAAUAAGGAAAACCUAUUUAUAUGGUUGCAUUUCUACCAUUUCAUCUGUUUUUCCUCUUUUCAGAACUAACCAUAAUUUGGGUGGUUGUAUUCAUUGUGCAGGAUGUG
rnacentral:lncRNA from 1 species